UGAUUUUACAAAGUUAAAAAAAUGAGUGGUAAUCUCCUAUAACAUCCUUCCGCUCGAUCCUGAUGGUGCAAACCAUGCAACUAUGAGACACCUUGAGAUCCAAGCCGCCGUCCUUGCGCUUCGUGACACCAGAGGUCUUCCAUGGCCAAAAGGGCACAAGAAACAGGAGGACGAAGACGUGCUUGACUGGCUUCAGGAGACGUUUGGCUUUCAGGUUAUUCGUGUCACAGUAGUCAUGCGAUCUAUGAUAAUUUUAGCCCUUUUGGGGCUUGCUUUAGUUCAUGAACUAUAUAAUGGUUCUGCAGAAAGACAACGUGUCUGAUCAGAGGGAGCACCUGAUCUUAUUGCUUGCUAAUGUGCGUACGAGGCAAUUUCCAAAGGAUGAUCAGCAGCCAAAGACGAUCAAACGGUUACAGAAGCAAUGAAGAAGCUCUUCAAGAACUACAAGAAAUGGUGCAAAUACCUUGGCCGAAAGAGUAGUCUUUGGAUGCCUACUACACAACAAGAUAUGCAACAACGCAUGCAAGUUGUUGUAUAUGGCUCUGCAUCUUCUCAUACGGGGUGAAGAUGCGAAUCUGAGAUUCAUGUCGGCAUGUCUAUGCUACAUUUAUCAUCAUGUACGGUUCGGUUUGCGUCUCAUCUUCUGCACUGCAGCUAUCCUUGCUCGUGUCUUGGCACGUUUUGAUCUGGCUCUUAUUCUUGUUUUGUGUUAUGCUCCUAUCACGUGAAGUCGUGUAUUGGCAUGUUUUGAUCCGGGUCUCAUUACCGGACAUGGCUAUUCUAUCCCUCUUUCUGAUCUACGUCGUGUUUUUUCAAAGAUGACAUUUGAAUUAUAUGGCAUGCUGGCCGGGAAUGUUAGUCCCAUGACUGGGGAAACUGUGAAGCCAGCUUACGGUGGUGAAGAAGACGCGCUCCUCAAGAAAGACUCCUAUUUACGAAGUGAUCGCAAGGGAGGUUGAAAGGAGCAGGAGAGAAAAGCCGAAGCAUUCCAACUACGAUGAUUUGAAUGAGUACUUUUGGUCGACUGAUUGCUUCCGGUUAGGUUGGCCGAUGCGAGCUGAUGCUGAUUUCUUUUGUCUGACCGUUGACCAGCUCAAUUCACAGAGAUCCGGUUACCACAGAUUAUCUCGGUUCUUAUACUUCUGCUUUGUUGGAUAGUUGCAGCAAUCUAGAUCUGAAUUUCGUGAGAUGGUGAUGAGGACAACUUCCAGUAUAUAGUUGCCGCAAGUAAUCUACAUGUAUAGAGGAAAAUAAUGUCCAAAACAUCAUGUCUGAUAAAUCUCAGAUAUCUUCAACUUGAACCGUUUGAAAUAUGAUAUCCACUGAUCAUAAGUUCGUUCACUUUUUCUAUCCAUAAAUUUAAUCGAGACUUUGAGUAUAAUUUUUUACU